GAAAUGCGAUAAGUAGUGUGAAUUGCAGAAUUCAGUGAAUCAUCGAAUCUUUGAACGCACAUUGCGCCCUAUGGUAUUCCGUAGGGCAUGCCUGUUCGAGUGUCAUUUACACCUUCAAGCCUUGCUUGGUGUUGGGUGACUGUGGCCCCUUUGGGGCCACUCGCCUUAAAGUCAUUGGCGGCCGGUUCGUUGGCUUUGUAGCGCAGCACAAUUGCGUCCUCGAAGCCGCUGGACCAGCUCCCAGAAGCUAAUUUUAAAUGUUUGACCUCGAAUCAGGUAGGGAUACCCGCUGAACUUAAGC
rnacentral:misc_RNA from 1 species